CCAGCAGCCGCGGUAAUACGGAGGGUGCGAGCGUUGUCCGGAAUCACUGGGCGUAAAGGGUGUGUAGGCGGUUCUUUAAGUUUGGUGUGAAAUCUCCCGGCUCAGCCGGGAGGGUGCGCCGAAUACUGAGGGACUAGAGUGCGGGAGAGGAAAGUGGAAUUCCUGGUGUAGCGGUGAAAUGCGUAGAUAUCGGGAGGAACGCCAGUAGCGAAGGCGGCCUUCUGGGCCGGUACUGACGCUGAGGAGCGAAAGCGUGGGGAGCAAACAGGAUUAGAUACCCUGGUA
rnacentral:rRNA from 1 species